CCUACGGGUGACAGCAGUGGGGGAUAUUGCACAAUGGGGGGAACCCUGAUGCAGCGACGCCGCGUGGGUGAAGAAGCGCCUCGGCGCGUAAAGCCCUGUCAGCAGGGAAGAAAAUGACGGUACCUGAAGAAGAAGCCCCGGCUAACUACGUGCCAGCAGCCGCGGGAAUACGGAGGGGUCAAGCGUUAUCCGGAUUUACUGGGUGUAAAGGGGGCGCAGACGGCCAUGCAAGCCAGGAGUGAAAGCCCGGGGCCCAACCCCGGGACUGCUCUUGGAACUGCGUGGCUGGAGUGCAGGAGGGGCAGGUGGAAUUCCUGGUGUAGCGGUGAAAUGCGUAGAUAUCAGGAGGAACACCGGUGGCGAAGGCGGCCUGCUGGACUGCAACUGACGUUGAGGCCCGAAAGCGUGGGGAGCAAACAGGAUUAGAUACCCCGGUAGUC
rnacentral:rRNA from 1 species